GACGAACGCUGGCGGCGUGCUUAACACAUGCAAGUCGAACGGAAAGGCCUUGCUUUUGUGGGGUGCUCGAGUGGCGAACGGGUGAGUAACACGUGAGUAACCUGCCCUUGACUUUGGGAUAACUUCAGGAAACUGGGGCUAAUACCGGAUAGGAGCUCCUGCUGCAUGGUGGGGGUUGGAAAGUUUCGGCGGUUGGGGAUGGACUCGCGGCUUAUCAGCUUGUUGGUGGGGUAGUGGCUUACCAAGGCUUUGACGGGUAGCCGGCCUGAGAGGGUGACCGGCCGCAUUGGGACUGAGAUACGGCCCAGACUCCUACGGGAGGCAGCAGUGGGGAAUAUUGCACAAUGGGCGGAAGCCUGAUGCAGCAACGCCGCGUGCGGGAUGACGGCCUUCGGGUUGUAAACCGCUUUCGCCUGUGACGAAGCGUGAGUGACGGUAAUGGGUAAAGAAGCACCGGCUAACUACGU
rnacentral:rRNA from 1 species